rnacentral:rRNA from 1 species
UACGUAGGAGACGAGCGUUGUCCGGAAUCACUGGGCGUAAAGCGCGUGUAGGCGGGUCCGCAAGUCUGCUGUGAAAACUCCUGGCUUAACCGGGAGAGGUCGGUGGAAACUGCGAACCUGGAGGACGGUAGAGGCUGGUGGAAUUCCCGGUGUAGUGGUGAAAUGCGUAGAGAUCGGGAGGAACACCUGUGGCGAAGGCGGCCAGCUGGGCCGGACCUGACGCUGAGACGCGAAGGCGUGGGGAGCGAACGGGG